AAGUCCUGUUCAGGGAGGAACGAGAAGUGUGGACACCUGCCUGAAGCUUCCCAGGCUUUGAAAAGAGAUGCAGGCACAGCAGCUGGUCUUCAAGAACACAGAGGUCAAGCAUUGAAAGACCUGGUCUGGAGAAACCAAAAUCAAGUUGAAUAUAAGUAAGAGAUGACAAAAGUUCAGCAGCAUCCCAUUCACAUGAAAAGUAUUUGCUUCUGGCCCCUGUUUGAAUCUUGGCAUUUCUGAAAACUACUCACCAGUCCAGAAAUGCAAGACACAGAGAGGAGCAAUACAGAGAAUGGAGGUUUUUGCAAAAGCCCAGAGAAACAGGCAACCCACUGGCACAAAUGCAGGUGCAGCUCCAGGAGGAAAGCAAUCUUUAUGCCUAGCAGGGCUGGUGUAACCAGAUCCUGCUGGUAGACAUCUGUCAAGCAUUGCCACAAGUCACAUCAGCUUAGGCCACCCUCAACACCACCACUGAAUAUGCCUAAUUCAUUCUUUUAUGUAUCCUCAGUGGCAGAUAAGAGAACUGGAAAUGCUGGGGGGACCCACCUGCAGGUCACCUUAUGCUUUAGUUUGAACUUCGGAACAAAGAGGAUGCUCUUCUUUCACUGAGCAAUAAUUGAUGGUCACAUCUGAGGCAACUAACCAAGAAUGAAUAAAAAGUUGAGCAUUAUGGGUUCCGUUCUUGUAAGUGUCUUCUGGCCCUGAUUCAGCAAAGCGUUUCAAGCUGUGCUAAAUGGUAAGCAUGUGAGUACUCCCACUGAAAUUCAGAAGUACUUCAUGCUCUUUAAAAUAACCAUGUGGAUUAAAGCAAGAAUGAGCACAAGUUUGUGGGAACAAGCCUGUGUUUUGUCCUGUUGAUAACAAAGCGCUUGCUCAGCACUGUAUAUCCCAGCAUGCUUCCUGAAUGAACUAACACCUGAGCAGCCAUCAGCAGUCUUUGCAGCAGAAGCAAUUUUUAAUGAAACAUGGUGGGGAGCCCUGCCAUGAGUAAACCACA